CCUACGGGUGGCUGCAGUGGGGAAUAUUGGACAAUGGGCGAAAGCCUGAUCCAGCCAUGCCGCGUGUGUGAAGAAGGCCUUCGGGUUGUAAAGCACUUUCAGUGGGGAAGAAAGCCUUGGGGCUAAUACCCUCGAGGAAGGACAUCACCCACAGAAGAAGCACCGGCUAACUCCGUGCCAGCAGCCGCGGUAAUACGGAGGGGUCGAGCGUUAAUCGGAAUUACUGGGCGUAAAGCGCGCGUAGGCGGUCUGAUAAGCCGGUUGUGAAAGCCCCGGGCUCAACCUGGGAACGGCAUCCGGAACUGUCAGGCUAGAGUGCAGGAGAGGAAGGUAGAAUUCCCGGUGUAGCGGUGAAAUGCGUAGAGAUCGGGAGGAAUACCAGUGGCGAAGGCGGCCUUCUGGACUGACACUGACGCUGAGGUGCGAAAGCGUGGGUAGCAAACAGGAUUAGAUACCCUAGUAGUC
rnacentral:rRNA from 1 species